ensembl:snRNA U1 U1 spliceosomal RNA
CUGCUGACCCGGCAGUGGAGAUGGCUCAGCCAGGCCGAGGCUCAGCCACUGAACUUGAACUCCACUUGCAUUGCACAUUGCAUUGAUCUCUGCAAAUUUCCAAAAUGUGGGAAUUUGGACCGCAUCGUCUCUGGUAGUUGGGGGUACUGUGUCUGCGUUCGCCCCUC